GAUAACGCAUUCUGCUCUCUUGAAAAAGUCACCGUCUGACAUAUUUUUUUACCGUGUGUAUUCCAUUCCCUUCUUACCCGUUUACAGCAGCCCUGACGAAAAGGUCUUUUUAUUUUACCUCUUUCAACGUUUCUUUCUGCUUGGCAUUUUGUGCGCCGUCAUUAAAUUUCCAUCUGUCGUCGGCUUCGGUGCUGUUGACUGUCGUACCAAUCUUGAAGAAAUUCAAAAUUAAUUUCAUCGAAUUAAAAUCUAAAAUUCAACUGUUUGACAUCGGAUCCGGUUUGACAUCUGUUCAACAAAUCAUAAUGCAUGAGGAUCGGCGUGCAUCUGUAGCAAAAAUGGAGUCUGAAAUGCCAGCGGUAGCCAUCAAACCUCCUUAGGUUGAUGGUACCGCUGGCUUUCGGAAAUAUGAUGACUACUUCUCGUGUAGAACUUUUAAGAUAAAGAUUUCCAAUUAUUUGGAGUGUUAAUGUAAGCCAUUUUAAUUUGUGUUUGUGCGAAAAUAAAUAUGUAACAAAUGUA